AAGGUUAUGGUCUCAUCACCACGA
rnacentral:misc_RNA from 1 species